rnacentral:rRNA from 1 species
CCCCUAGAUGUUCUGGGCCGCACGCGCGCUACACUGAACAGUUCAACAAGUCUUAACCUUGGCCGAUAGGUCUGGGUAAUCUUUGAACGCUGUUCGUGAUUGGGAUAGACCUUUGCAAUUAUGGGUCUUCAACGAGGAAUUCCUAGUAAACGCAAGUCAUCAGCUUGCAUUGAUUACGUCCCUGCCCUUUGUACACACCGCCCGUCGCUACUACCGAUUGAAUGAUCCGAUGAAUACCAUGGAUUGAGAGUACGAAUAGGUUCGCUUAUUUCUGCUUCUCGAGAAGUGGAGUAAAUCUUAUCAUUUAGAGGAAGGAGAAGUCGUAACA